UGUCGAGGGUUUAUGAUUAUAUCAAGGACCUGAAAAAUAAUCUGGACAUAUACAAAAUUGGGUUUAGAGUGUUAGAUUCGUGGAAUGUCGGUGCUAGCAAUGGGAAUCAACAUAUGGAGUUCAUUAUCGGAGAUGCCAAGGUUACAUGGACAUUAGGAGUUGUUUCACAUCUUGGCAUUUGGUUCAGUGCUCCAACUAUCUUCUACAUAGGUCAGCUACGUAAAAUACUGUCAAAUUAAAAUCCAAAGUUGAUGAAGAUUUUUUUUUCCGAUGUCCCGAUACUUGCAAGAUAGAGAUCUAGAAUAGAGGUAAAACAAGUCUCAUAUUGGCGUUUGAUGUCAGUCAAAGUCAUCCCUGGAGCUAGGGAACUUGCAGAUAAAUUGGGUGUGAAACUUUUUAUUGUCGAUAGUAGUUAACAUCUAUGUGAUCAGUUUAAAGAUUGCAUGGACAAAAUUAUAUUAAGGAGGAGAAAAAGAAAAAAUCUGCUGAUGAGGGCAGGCAGUCUUCCCAUGCAUUAUGAUGAUCAAAUGAUCUAUUUUAAUUGUGAUUGCAAUGUUUGUGAUGACAACAGUUUUCUUUGCAAAUACAGUAUUAUUGAGUUUCCUUUCCUUCA